GAUGAACGCUGGCGGCGUGCCUAAUACAUGCAAGUCGAGCGAAUGGAUUAAGAGCUUGCUCUUAUGAAGUUAGCGGCGGACGGGUGAGUAACACGUGGGUAACCUGCCCAUAAGACUGGGAUAACUCCGGGAAACCGGGGCUAAUACCGGAUAACAUUUUGAACCGCAUGGUUCGAAAUUGAAAGGCGGCUUCGGCUGUCACUUAUGGAUGGACCCGCGUCGCAUUAGCUAGUUGGUGAGGUAACGGCUCACCAAGGCAACGAUGCGUAGCCGACCUGAGAGGGUGAUCGGCCACACUGGGACUGAGACACGGCCCAGACUCCUACGGGAGGCAGCAGUAGGGAAUCUUCCGCAAUGGACGAAAGUCUGACGGAGCAACGCCGCGUGAGUGAUGAAGGCUUUCGGGUCGUAAAACUCUGUUGUUAGGGAAGAACAAGUGCUAGUUGAAUAAGCUGGCACCUUGACGGUACCUAACCAGAAAGCCACGGCUAACUACGUGCCAGCAGCCGCGGUAAUACGUAGGUGGCAAGCGUUAUCCGGAAUUAUUGGGCGUAAAGCGCGCGCAGGUGGUUUCUUAAGUCUGAUGUGAAAGCCCACGGCUCAACCGUGGAGGGUCAUUGGAAACUGGGAGACUUGAGUGCAGAAGAGGAAAGUGGAAUUCCAUGUGUAGCGGUGAAAUGCGUAGAGAUAUGGAGGAACACCAGUGGCGAAGGCGACUUUCUGGUCUGUAACUGACACUGAGGCGCG
rnacentral:rRNA from 1 species